CAACAGCUGUCGCUCCCGUAAUAACGUAACGAAAGUCGAGUUUAGCGGAGAUAAUAGCAAUACAUAUAUACAUCACUGGUACUGGCCUUUAGGAAAGCUACUUGGAAGAAACCAUAAACUUGGAAUCGAGUUCAACACAUGAAGUGAUACAUAGCCAGCAUGCUUCGAGGAAGAAACAGCUUAGUAAUAGCUGGCUUUGUGGGAUGUAUAGGCCUUGCUCUCUACCCCAUUGUGUUCUCGCCAAUGAUGAAUUCAUCCUCAUGGAAGCAAGUACAACGGGAGACACGAAAAGGAGUGAAUCAGAAAGAUAUACAGCCUGGAGGUAUGAGGGUAUGGAGUGACCCGUUCAAACCUCGAGCUGAUUCUAAAUGAAAUCAUGAAAUCCUGUGGAUAAUAUAAGAAAAAGAAACUAUGAACAAGAGCCCUUGAAGCAAUUGUCAAUAUCAUGUGUGACACGAGCAGAUGGAAGAUAACACAAGUGAUAAUGAAAUGCCAGAAGGAAAGAGGAAUGUGAUACUCUAGAAGCGGAUGGACAAGAUUCUCUUGAAGGACUUCAGUCUAGACAUUGCCAUCAGGAUUCAUCGUUUCAUUAUCAAAAAUGAAAAGUGAAUAUGAGGAUUAUUAUGAACAUCAUUAUGGCACAAUAACAAUGCAGUGAUAUUGAGAGGUGAUAAUUUGUGAAAUGUUCAGGUUCCAUGACAUUUGCUUCGGCAACAAUUGCUCCACUCUGAAUUCCGCACACUCAUGGAAAGACCAACUUCAACCUUGGAUUUAACAUUAUACCCUUUCCUAAACCGAACCCUAAACCUAAAACCCUAUUGCAACCAUUACCCUUACCCUAUAUCUUAGAUGAACUAAAACCCGGAGCAAUUGUUGCAGGAGCAGAUGUUGUGUCAACUGUAUUUAUGGGAAGCUGUUACAUUUUUUUUAAUGUUCAUUUUUAUUGGGCAAUUCAGUAAUCAUGAUAUACAGACCUGUGGCUGUAUAUGUAAUUUUUUUUAAAUUUUACAUUACACCUACGUUUUACCAUGGGGUACUUUACCAUUGAGAUAUUACUUUGGUGAUAAUAUGACAAUCUCACUUUUAUAGAGAGCAUUUGGUUGCUGUCUCACAUCUCAGAUAUGGAGAUGUCUUUGCAACAUCUACUAA